rnacentral:misc_RNA from 1 species
GUCAACAACAAGGUCACAAUGGUACAUAUAGAUCAAAAAAAGUAAGCAGCAGAGUCUUAGCAGUCGAAAAUCUGUUCUAUAUGUCACCGGAAGGUAAGGCACUGGUAGGAUCCUAACAAAAGGGGCAGUAAAUCGUCAUAGAACAACUCUAUGAAGUUUUUUCUUCUGCAGCGGCUUCAAAUGUCUGCCCUGGCACAAGUUCAGGGACAUCUUCAUCGUCCUCCUCCGGGAUGGUACCACCGCCCGGAACCUGCUUCUGGAACUGCUCAGCAAGCCUCCGAAGGUUGUCCAAGUUAUCAGGACCGAGUUGGUUGAUUAUUGAAGGCAGUAUAUCCUGGAGUCUCUUCGUCUGGGGGGAGCCGC